CCCAGCCAAAUGGCUUGGCCUCCUCGGGCACCAGAACCAAGGGGCGGGGGCGCGUGACCGUCCCGUUUGGAAGCCAUGGGGAGUGGAGGCUCAUCUGCCCACGAUCACCGCAGGCAGGCCCCAGACGGUUGCGGAACCGACGAGCCCAGCCUGUCUCCGUGGUAACCGGCUGGCCGCAGAGGACUGUGGGAAGUGUAGUUGAGCAGGACCGGCCGGUGCUCGAGGUCAGAGGGGUUGCCGUUAUACCGCCGGCCACUCCGGGCAGAACGAUUUUGCGGCGUCCGGGCGACGUCGUCCCGCCGUCACUUUGGCCUCUGAUCACCCAGGCAGAACAUUUCUGAAAUUAAAGAAGCUCAUGAAGAGUUUAUCAGAAACAUAACUCUCCCACGGCACAAGUUAAGGCUCCUUGGGGACUUCUCCAGUCAAGAAUGACCCCAGUAAUGGUGGGGGCUGUGUCCUUGGCCACCCCCCCACCCCCCGCCAGAUCCAGUGCCAUAGACCGGAGUCUGGGGAACCUCCCAGAGGGGAGGUUGAGCAGCUGGCCUGCCCCAGAGAAGAGUUUCGAGCAGGAGAGUGAAGAGAGGAGCCAGGAAGGUGACCAGAGUGACCAGAACUGCCAGCCAGACAGAUGUAAAGCUCUUUGAGGAAGAACCACCCCGUGUCCCUUGGACUCACAGCACCAAGGGACACCAAGCACCGAGGGACUCGGGAUGACGUGGGG
rnacentral:lncRNA from 1 species